rnacentral:rRNA from 1 species
GACGAACGCUGGCGGCGUGCUUAACACAUGCAAGUCGAACGGAAAGGCCCUGCUUUUGUGGGGUGCUCGAGUGGCGAACGGGUGAGUAACACGUGAGUAACCUGCCCUUGACUUUGGGAUAACUUCAGGAAACUGGGGCUAAUACCGGAUAGGAGCUCCUGCUGCAUGGUGGGGGUUGGAAAGUUUCGGCGGUUGGGGAUGGACUCGCGGCUUAUCAGCUUGUUGGUGGGGUAGUGGCUUACCAAGGCUUUGACGGGUAGCCGGCCUGAGAGGGUGACCGGCCACAUUGGGACUGGGAUCCGGCCCAGACUCCUCCGGGAGGCAGCAGUGGGGAAUAUUGCACAAUGGGCGGAGGCCUGAUGCAGCAACGCCGCGUGCGGGAUGACGGCCUUCGGGUUGUAACCCGCUUCCGCCUGUGACGAAGCGUGAGUGACGGUAAUGGGUAAAGAAGCACCGGCUAACUACGUG